rnacentral:piRNA from 1 species
CCCAACGAGAGGAGCUGGCGCUGCGCGCCGA